rnacentral:tRNA from 2 species
GCCGCUGUAGCUCAGUUGGUAGAGCGCCCGCCUUGUAAGCGGAUGGUCAGGGGUUCGAGUCCCCUCAGCGGCU